rnacentral:rRNA from 1 species
GUACACGCUGUGACUAGCAUAUCAAUAAGCGGAGGAAAAGAAACUAACAAGGAUUCCCCUAGUAACGGCGAGUGAAGCGGGAAGAGCUCAAAUUUGAAAUCUUAAAGGGUUUCCCUUUACGAAUUGUAGUUUAAAGAAGUGUUUUCUGUUGAGGUUUUGGUAAAAGUUCUUUGGAAUAGGACAUCAUAGAGGGUGAGAAUCCCGUAUUUGACCUUUACUUUCAACUUUGUGAUACACUUUCAAAGAGUCGGAUUGUUUGGGAAUGCAGUCCAAAAUGGGUGGUAAAUUUCAUCUAAAGCUAAAUAUUGGCGAGAGACCGAUAGCGAACAAGUACCGUGAGGGAAAGAUGAAAAGAACUUUGAAAAGAGAGUUAAACAGUACGUGAAAUUGUCAAAAGGGAAGCGUUUGACACCAGUGUUGUUUUUCUGAAAAUCAAUUAAAGAACUGUUUAUGCUAAGCUGUUUAGACUUUAUCAGCUAACUGUUUAGUUUUGAGCUUUUCUUUAAUGCACUUUUCAGUUAACAAGUCAACAUCAAUUUCUUUUGCUGUAAAAAAGCUUGAGGAAGGUGGCUUGAGAUUCGUCUUAAGUGUUUAUAGCCUCUUGCCUAUGCAGUCGGAGAGAUUGAGGUCUGCAGCGUAGAUCCUUCGGGGCUAAAUGCAUUUGUGCUAAGUUAUAGCAUUUUAUAGACUAACUUGUUGACUAUGAUUUGUCUUGUAGCUUACUCGCUUAUGUUAUUUUACCUACGCUUAGGAUGUUGAGUCGUAGAGCACGCAG